rnacentral:rRNA from 1 species
GACGAACCGUGCGAACGUUGUUCGGAAUCACUGGGCUUAAAGGGCGCGUAGGCGGCCUCUUUGGUCGUGGGUGAAAUCCCCCAGCUUAACUGGGGAAGGGCCUACGAUACCGGGGGGCUCGAGGGAGGAAGGGGCGGUCGGAACUGUCGGUGGAGCGGUGAAAUGCGCAGAUAUCAGGAGGAACACCGGUGGCGAAGGCGGAUCUCUGGGCCUUACCUGACGCUCAGGUGCGAAAGCUAGGGGAGCAAACAGG